UUUGUAAACAAGUCUUCCACGCUGUUUUCUGGAUCGUUGCUUUUCUUUUACUACGGAGAGACGCCGCGGUGCUGCAGCCCGGGAGGAGACGAGCUACAAACAGACGUCAAUACAGAUGUUGAAAUCAAACCUCACUCACAAAAUAUUUCUGAAGACCAGAGGAAUAAUGCAGAGCAGGGAGAAGCAGCACCAGAAAGCCUGCUGUGACCCACAUCACACCUCAUGCUGGGGUCACGGUCUUUCCUGGCACACCUGAGUGACAUCACAAGCAGAGCUGAUGAGACCAGCAGCAGGUGGAGAAGUCCAAGUUUUCAGCGAGUGGAUCCUAUCAGAGGGACGUCUCAGGAGGUGAUCUCAGAUUUUGAGGACAUCUUCAGCCUUCAGCUGCUCUGGUCUUCGAUCCUCCAGUUGUCCAGCAGCAUCAUAGAUGUACUUUAUGUAUAGAUUCUCUGGCUGGAGACGGGAGAUUACUGCCAGCGGGCCUCCUUCCUGCUCCCAUUUAUCUUUCUUUCACCUCCUGGUAGCCGGCCACCCUCCCUCUGGAAGCUCUCAGCUGUUCCUCUCCCACUGACUGGGCUCUGUUAUGGGUUCAUUGGGCUGGAAUGUGGCAGGAAUCUUUGGAUCAAGAGAAGGAGGAGGAGGAGGAGCAAGGAUGUCGUAUCAGCAAGCAGCUGUUGAAUGAGUGACAAAGUCAAGGGCUGGUGAUAUGAACAUGGGAAAAUCCUGGAGGAGCUGGAAUGAAGAGACGGCAGCAGCAGCAGCUGAGAGGCAGAAAAAAAUGUGUGAGAAACAGAAAAGAAAGCAGUUUAUCCUCUGGUCGGGAAGGAAAUAUUGACAUUAUUUAGCAGCCACUGCUCCAGAAGCAGCUCUACCAGACUCUUUCUGAGGGUUGAUGAAUGGAUGGAAGGCUGUUGGAGGAGUUAAAGGAAGGUCAGGCAGGAGAAGAGGGGAGGAAGGAACGGGGUGGAGGGCUGGAAGGAAGGUAAAUGAAUACCAGACGGAUUGUGUGUGGUGUUAAUUGAAUGUUUGGCUAAAGCUGGCAGACAUUCUGGUUCCAGAGUUAGAGCGUUAGAGUUAGAGGGUUAGAG
ensembl:lncRNA